rnacentral:rRNA from 1 species
CCUACGGGAGGCAGCAGUGGGGAAUAUUGGGCAAUGGGCGCAAGCCUGACCCAGCAACGCCGCGUGAAGGAAGAAGGCCUUCGGGUUGUAAACUUUUUUUAAGAGGGAAGAGCAGAAGACGGUACCUCUUGAAUAAGCCACGGCUAACUACGUGCCAGCAGCCGCGGUAAUACGUAGGUGGCAAGCGUUGUCCGGAUUUACUGGGUGUAAAGGGCGUGUAGCCGGAGAGGCAAGUCAGUUGUGAAAUCCGCGGGCUCAACUCGCGAACUGCAUUUGAUACUGCUUCCCUUGAGUAUCGGAGAGGUAAGCGGAAUUCGUGGUGUAGCGGUGAAAUGCGUAGAUAUUAGGAAGAACACCAGUGGCGAAGGCAGAUUACUGGACGACAACUGACGGUGAGGCGCGAAAGCGUGGGGAGCAAACAGGAUUAGAUACCCGGGUAGUC